CAGUCGCCGCGGUAAUACGAAGGGUGCAAGCGUUACUCGGAAUUACUGGGCGUAAAGCGAGCGUAGGUGGUGGUUUAAGUCCGUUGUGAAAGCCCUGGGCUCAACCUGGGAAUUGCAGUGGAUACUGGGUCACUAGAGUGUGGUAGAGGAUAGUGGAAUUUCCGGUGUAGCAGUGAAAUGCGUAGAGAUCGGAAGGAACAUCUGUGGCGAAGGCGACUAUCUGGGCCAACACUGACACUGAGGCACGAAAGCGUGGGGAGCAAACAGGAUUAGAUACCCGGGUAGUCCCUGUCUCUUAUAC
rnacentral:rRNA from 1 species